rnacentral:rRNA from 1 species
UACGAAGGGGGCGAGCGUUGUUCGGAAUUACUGGGCGUAAAGCGCACGUAGGCGGCUUUGUAAGUUAGAGGUGAAAGCCCGGGGCUCAACUCCGGAAUUGCCUUUAAGACUGCAUCGCUUGAAUCAUGGAGAGGUGAGUGGAAUUCCGAGUGUAGAGGUGAAAUUCGUAGAUAUUCGGAAGAACACCAGUGGCGAAGGCGACUCACUGGACAUGUAUUGACGCUGAGGUGCGAAAGCGUGGGGAGCAAACAGG